CACACUCACACAAUCACCACGUACACGUGACGCUUCACCUUUGCCUCUCUCCCCCUUUUCCCAAAUCGUUGACUGCCACUCUCACAAAAUGGCUGGCGUUGGUAAGGCAAUGGUCACGCUGAGCAACGGCGUCCAGAUGCCGCAGCUCGGCCUCGGCGUGUGGCAGUCCCCCGCCGGCGAGGUAACUGCGAACGCCGUCAAGUGGGCGCUGUGUGCCGGCUACCGCCACAUCGACACUGCAGCCAUCUACAAGAACGAGGAGAGCGUCGGCGCCGGGCUGCGUGCCUCUGGUGUACCGCGCGAGGAUGUGUUCAUCACGACGAAGCUCUGGAACACGGAGCAAGGCUACGAGAGCACGCUCGCGGCCUUCGAGGAGAGUCGACAGAAGCUCGGUGUUGACUACAUUGAUCUCUACCUCAUCCACUGGCCGCGCGGCAAAGACAUCGUGUCGAAAGAGGGCAAGAAGUACCUGGACUCGUGGCGCGCCUUCGAGCAGCUCUACAAGGAUAAGAAGGUGCGGGCGAUUGGGGUGUCGAACUUUCACAUCCACCAUCUGGAGGACGUGCUUGCAAUGUGCACGGUGACGCCAAUGGUGAACCAGGUGGAGCUUCACCCGUUGAACAAUCAGGCCGAGCUGCGGGCCUUCUGCGACGCCAAGCAAAUCAAAGUCGAGGCUUGGUCGCCGCUAGGGCAGGGCAAGCUGCUCUCCAACCCGAUCCUCGCCGCAAUCGGCGCAAAGUACAAUAAGACGGCCGCGCAGGUGAUCCUCCGCUGGAACAUCCAAAAGAAUCUCAUCACGAUCCCCAAGUCGGUCCACAAGGAGCGUAUCGAGGAGAACGCGGACGUCUUCAAUUUCGAGCUCGGCGCCGAGGACGUGAUGAGUAUCGACGCUCUCAACACGAACUCACGCUACGGCCCCGACCCCGAUGAGGCGCAGUUCUAAGCAGACGGCGAGUCGCGUAUGCGCCCACCUGUCGCAGCCCAUCGGAUGAUGGAGGAUAACUCGAUCUCUCUCUAUUCCCGCUGAGUUUUCGUUUCUUCGCAUCGCUGGUGUUAUCAUUCUCUUUUCGUGUUUUUGUGCUUUCAACAAACUCGCGCAACGCUUUCGCAACAAAGAGGGAACCGAAUGCCGGCGCCGAGUAGAAAAAAAGGAAAGUGAUCCGCGUGUGAUCGAUGCACAUGCCAGGUAGGUACGCGCGCGUGUGGAGAGCGAACCGCGUUACGACGCGGCAUUAUAUCAGGCUUGUGGCUGCCAAAUUUCACGUGUGCGUCUGAGUGUUUGUUAGGCUGGCUGAUGUAUUUCCGCACGCAUGUGGGUGCCACUCUCCCUCUAUUUUUUUUUUCGUUCGCGAUUGGGGGAACGGUGCCUUUCGUGCCUCCCACACCUCUCUCGCUGUUACAAAAUAGCUGAAUCGACGUCAGCAUGCUCAACGCCUUGCGCGCUCCUUUCCCUUCCGGGUCG
rnacentral:misc_RNA from 1 species